AGGAAAAGAAACUAACAAGGAUUCCCCUAGUAACUGCGAGUGAAGCGGGAAGAGCUCAAAUUUUGAAUCUGGCGGUCUUCGGCCGUCCGAGUUGUAAUCUAGAGAAGCGUUUUCCGCGCUGGACCGUGUAUAAGUUUCCUGGAAGGGAGCGUCGUAGAGGGUGAGAAUCCCGUCUUUGACACGGACUACCAGUGCUAUGUGAUGCGCUCUCGACGAGUCGAGUUGUUUGGGAAUGCAGCUCAAAAUGGGUGGUAAAUUCCAUCUAAAGCUAAAUACAGGCGAGAGACCGAUAGCGAACAAGUACCGUGAGGGAAAGAUGAAAAGAACUUUGGAAAGAGAGUUAAACAGUACGUGAAAUUGCUGAAAGGGAAACGCUUGAUGUCAGUCGCGUCGGCCGGGGAUCAACCUUGCUUCUCGYUGGGUGUACUUCCCGGUGGACGGGUCAGCAUCAGUUUCGGUCGCCGUACAAGGGUGAGGGGAACGUGGCACUCUUCGGAGUGUGUUAUAGCCUUUCGUCGCAUGCGGUGGUGGGGACUGAGGAACUCAGCACGGCUUCGGUCUGUGCUCAGGAUGCUGGCAUAAUGGCCUUAAGCGACCCGUCUUGAAACACGGACCAAGGAGUCUAACAUGCCUGCGAGUGUUUGGGUGACAAACCCGAGCGCGCAAUGAAAGUGAAGUUGAGACCUCUGUCGUGGAGGCAUCGACGCC
rnacentral:rRNA from 1 species